rnacentral:tRNA from 1 species
AGAGGCUUCAAGCAUUAAGGACUGCUAAUCCCUACCCCCCUGGUUAA